UGGGGAAUAUUGCACAAUGGAGGGAACUCUGAUGCAGCGACGCCGCGUGAACGAUGAAGGCUUUCGAGUCGUAAAGUUCUUUUAUAUGGGAAGAUAAUGACGGUACCAUAAGAAAAAGCCCCGGCUAACUACGUGCCAGCAGCCGCGGUAAUACGUAGGGGGCUAGCGUUGUCCGGAAUCACUGGGCGUAAAGGGUUCGCAGGCGGAAAUGCAAGUCAGGUGUAAAAGGCAGUAGCUUAACUACUGUAAGCAUUUGAAACUGCAUAUCUUGAGAAGAGUAGAGGUAAGUGGAAUUUUUAGUGUAGCGGUGAAAUGCGUAGAUAUUAAAAAGAAUACCGGUGGCGAAGGCGACUUACUGGGCUCAUUCUGACGCUGAGGAACGAAAGCGUGGGUAGCAAACAGG
rnacentral:rRNA from 1 species